AUGGCUCCCAGAUCGGAGCACGCCGGCGGGAGCGCCUCGGCGGCAGCGGCGGCGGCGGCGGCGGCGGCGGCCGCCCAGAGCCACGGAUCCGGGUUCGACUCCAUGGACCCCUUCUUCCACGCGCUCCGCGUGGUCCCCUUCGCCUUCCUCCAGCCGCCGCGCACCCGCCUGAAGCUGCCGUCCAACCUGGCGCUCCCGUCCCCGAUGGUCGUCUUCUCGCUCAUCCUGCUCACCUACUUCGCCGUCGUCUCCGGCCUCGUCUACGACGUCAUCGUCGAGCCCCCCGGCAUCGGCAGCUCCCAGGACCCGGCCACCGGCGCCGUCCGCCCCGUCGUCUUCCUCCCCGGCCGCGUCAACGGCCAGUACAUCAUCGAGGGCCUCUCCUCCGGCUUCAUGUUCCUCCUCGGGGGCGUCGGGGUCAUCCUCCUCGACCUGGCGGUCGACCGCACCAGGCCCCGCAGCCUGCGCGUCUCCUUCGGCGGCGCCGGCGUCGCCGCCAUCGUCAUCGCCUACGCCAUGGCCAUGCUCUUCCUCCGCAUCAAGAUACCCGGAUACUUAUGGUGA
rnacentral:rRNA from 1 species